rnacentral:rRNA from 1 species
UCGAGGAUCUUCGGCAAUGGGCGCAAGCCUGACCGAGCGACGCCGCGUGCGCGAUGAAGGCCUUCGGGUUGUAAAGCGCUGUCGAGGGGGAGGAAGCCGAAAGGUUGACCUAUCCCUGGAGGAAGCACGGGCUAAGUUCGUGCCAGCAGCCGCGGUAAGACGAACCGUGCAAACGUUGUUCGGAAUCACUGGGCUUAAAGGGCGCGUAGGCGGGCGAUCAAGUCAGGGGUGAAAUCUUUCGGCUCAACCGGAAAACAGCCUCUGAUACUGAUUGUCUCGAGGGAGGUAGGGGCAUGUGGAACUUCCGGUGGAGCGGUGAAAUGCGUUGAUAUCGGAAGGAACGCCGGUGGCGAAAGCGACGUGCUGGACCUCUUCUGACGCUGAGGCGCGAAAGCUAGGGGAGCGAACGGGAUUAGAUACCCGUGUAGUCC